rnacentral:misc_RNA from 1 species
AAGUCGUAACAAGGUUUCCGUAGGUGAACCUGCGGAAGGAUCAUUAUUGAAUAUUCUUGAUGGGUUGUAGCUGGCUCUUAGGGGGCAUGUGCACGCCUAUCUUGACUUUAUUCAUCCACCUGUGCACCUUUUGUAGUCUUGGGGGUUGAGAGCAGUCAAUUGUCGGAUGGCUUAUAGCCUUUUCGGAUGUGAGGAAUGCUGAGUGCGAAAGCAUACAGCUCUUCUCAGAAUGACUUGCAAACCUCUCCCUCGAGUACUAUGUAUUCAUAUACCACAUAGUAUGUUGUAGAAUGUGAUCAAUGGGCCUCUGUGCCUAUAAUAAUCAUAUACAACUUUCAGCAACGGAUCUCUUGGCUCUC